GACGAACGCUGGCGGCGUGCCUAAUACAUGCAAGUCGAACGAAGCUGUUUUAACUGGUGCUUGCACCGACUUAAACAACUGAGUGGCGAACGGGUGAGUAACACGUGGGUAACCUGCCCCAAAGCGGGGGAUAACUUUUGGAAACAGAUGCUAAUACCGCAUAACCACAGAAACCACAUGGUUUCUGUGUCAAAGAUGGUUUCGGCUAUCACUUUGGGAUGGACCCGCGGCGUAUUAGCUAGUUGGUAAGGUAAUGGCUUACCAAGGCAAUGAUACGUAGCCGAACUGAGAGGUUGAUCGGCCACAUUGGGACUGAGACACGGCCCAAACUCCUACGGGAGGCAGCAGUAGGGAAUCUUCCACAAUGGACGAAAGUCUGAUGGAGCAACGCCGCGUGAGUGAAGAAGGUUUUCGGAUCGUAAAACUCUGUUGUCAGAGAAGAACGUGUGCGAGAGUAACUGUUCGUGCAGUGACGGUAUCUGGCCAGAAAGUCACGGCUAACUACGUGCCAGCCGCCGCAGUAA
rnacentral:rRNA from 1 species